rnacentral:lncRNA from 1 species
AUCUUGAAAACGGAAAAUAAAAACAGCAGACCUAUGAAGGUCGAAGGGGAAGAAAAGCUGUAUCGAUUGUUGAGAUCUGGCGACUUGUUUAAAUUUCAUCAGCCUCACUUCUAUGAACUCUCAGAGCUGAUUACCAACUCCUACCACUGUUAACCCUCAUCCAGGAACAAGCUUAUGUCUUUAACAUUCUGAGUGGGCUUCAGCAUCCUUGCAUAUGUUCAAUUCUUAAAAACCUGUUGAAAUAAAAGAUCAGGAGACAUAGGAAGGAUGCCAGAAGAGAGCGUGGCCUCACGUGUACCAGCUCUCUGCUCUCCUUUGCCUUGGGACGUUCCAUCCCUGGAAGUUUCCCUGCCCACAUCUUUGUAGAGAGUCCAUUCUCCAAGCUUCAGUGUGUCAUCUGUGAGGACCGUGACCCACCUGGUACAUCGCCUCAGGGCAUUCAUUUCAGGCUCCUUCUAAAUGGCCAAGGUUUGUAUGGAUUUUAAUCCCUAUUGCUGGUGCACUUCACUUGGGCUUGGAAGCUUUUUUCCCAUUUUCGUAGUAAUG